UCUAUGAAGUGAAAGAUCCAUAUUUUAACAUUCAUGAAUGGUGUGGCGCGAUGACAUGCGUCAACACGCAAGCACUCCUCCUCCUCCUUCGUUUAGUUUGGAGAAUCAGCGAUUUUUCCGGCGACGAUUCAAAAUCUCCGAUCAACCAUCAAUCAAGCCUCCCUUCUCUAUUUAAUCCCAGACCACUUCACUUCUAACCCUACAUCGUCUCUGCUGUUCUCCCAGUAGUCAAAUUAAACUGCUUCCCGCGACCAAGGAGUUGCUUGUUUCGAAACCAUAAGCUCGCCGACGACCUUCGUUUUUCUUCUUCACAUAAUCUGGGAAAUCAAGAGGUAACUGAGAGGCUUGACCUCAUAUAUUAUUUUGUUUUGGGUUUGAUAGCAUUUCUUGACUGAGCUUUAAGUGUUCUUUUUCUUUAAUCCAGAAGCUUUUGACGACGACGCUUCGACCGCAGCCAAUAAUCUAUUCUAUCCUCCAGUCAUUCUUACUUUCUUAACAAAGGUAAUGUAUCCCUAGUUCACCUCCCUUGCAAGUUUUUUGUUCCUAUAUACUUGUUGGAAGCAAUUCGACUAAGUCAUCGAUCUCCUUGACUUCCAGGGAUCGGAUUGUGUCGACGUACGUCCAUUCCCGAGCUGGAAUUUCAGAGAAACCCAAGUCAAUCUAUUAUCACGUUUAGCCUUGGAAUCUGGUCAGGGAAUGGUUCAUAUGUAUUCUUUUCGUUUUCCUCCAGUUUCAUGGCAUAUUGUUGAUCGCCGGGAACUCAGUUACCUUCGCUGGAAUUCUGGAAAUCCUCCAGGAUUAUUGGGGAAGAUGACCGGCGAAUGACUCUGGCGACAUAUAGACUUUCAGUGAUUAUGUUGUAGUCACUGCACUUCCAAAAAUUAGAAUUAGUACCUCUUGUCUUAGUAAAUUUCCUGACAUAAAUAAACUACUUCAAAAAAAUUCCAACAUUCAGUCGUAUAUGUGUAGGAAUCAAGCAGUUGUUGCAAGAAAAUGAAGCAAACUAGUUAUGUCUUAGUGCAAAC
rnacentral:lncRNA from 1 species